rnacentral:rRNA from 1 species
CACGUAGGGGACGAGCGUUGUCCGGAUUCAUUGGGCGUAAAGCGCGCGUAGGCGGCUCGGAAAGUCGGUCGUGAAAUGCCGGGGCUCAACCCCGGGACUGCGUCCGAUACUCCCGAGCUGGAGGCAGGUAGGGGAGAUCGGAAUUCCUGGUGUAGCGGUGAAAUGCGCAGAUAUCAGGAGGAACACCGGUGGCGAAGGCGGAUCUCUGGGCCUUGCCUGACGCUGAGGAGCGAAAGCGUGGGGAGCAAACAGG